rnacentral:rRNA from 1 species
UACGUAGGGCGCAAGCGUUAUCCGGAAUUAUUGGGCGUAAAGCGCGCGUAGGCGGUUAUCUAAGUCGGAUGUGAAAGCCCUCGGCUUAACUGAGGAAGUGCACCCGAAACUGGAUAGCUAGAGUACGAAAGAGGGUCGCGGAAUUCCCGGUGUAGAGGUGAAAUUCGUAGAUAUCGGGAGGAACACCGGUGGCGAAGGCGGCGACCUGGGUCGAGACUGACGCUGAGGCGCGAAAGCGUGGGGAGCAAACAGG